UACGGAGGGUGCGAGCGUUGUUCGGAAUCACUGGGCGUAAAGCGCGUGUAGGCGGCCCACUAAGUCUGAUGUGAAAGCCCGGGGCUCACCCCCGGAAGUGCAUUGGAAACUGGUGGACUCGAGUCCCGGAGAGGAGAGUGGAAUUCCUGGUGUAGCGGUGAAAUGCGCAGAUAUCAGGAGGAACACCGGUGGCGAAGGCGGGUCUCUGGGCCGAUAUCGACGCUGAGGAGCGAAAGCGUGGGGAGCGAACAGG
rnacentral:rRNA from 1 species